ensembl:snRNA U4 U4 spliceosomal RNA
AACUUUACACGGUAGCAGCAUUGUAGCCAAUGAAGUUUAUCCAUGGUGUGAUUAUUGCUAAUUGAAAAUUUUUCCCAAUACUUUUUUAAGGGGCCAACUUUUGACUUUGUUGAUCCUAUCGUAUGUAUGCUUUCUCUUUCAUUAAUUUCUGCAAAUAUUCCUUCUUG